AUUGAACGCUGGCGGCAGGCCUAACACAUGCAAGUCGAGCGGAUGAGUGGAGCUCGCUCCAUGAUUCAGCGGCGGACGGGUGAGUAAUGCCUAGGAAUCUGCCUGGUAGUGGGGGACAACGUUUCGAAAGGAACGCUAAUACCGCAUACGUCCUACGGGCGCAAGUGGGGGAUCUUCGGACUUCACGCUAUCACAUGAGCCUAGGUCGGGUUAGCUAGUUGGGGGGGUAAAGGCUCACCAAGGCGACGAUCCGUAACUGGUCUGAGAGGAUGAUCAGGCACACUGGAACUGAGACACGGUCCAGACUCCUACGGGAGGCAGCAGUGGGGAAUAUUGGACAAUGGGCGAAAGCCUGAUCCAGCCAUGCCGCGUGUGUGAAGAAGGUCUUCGGAUUGUAAAGCACUUUAAGUUGGGAGGAAGGGCAGUAAGUUAAUACCUUGCUGUUUUGACGUUACCAACAGAAUAAGCACCGGCUAACUUCGUGCCAGCCGCCGCUGUAAAAC
rnacentral:rRNA from 1 species